UCGUAAAAUAUGCGUAGAUACGUUAAA
rnacentral:sRNA from 1 species